rnacentral:rRNA from 1 species
AUGAACGCUGGCGGCGUGCCUAACACAUGCAAGUCGAACGAAGAGGCCCCUUCGGGGGCACUUCAGUGGCGGACGGGUGAGUAACACGUAGGUAACCUGCCCCGAAGUGGGGAAUAACAGUCCGAAAGGACCGCUAAUACCCCAUGUGAUCGCAAGAUUAAAGCCCCCUUCGGCCGGCGCUCUGGGAGGGGCCUGCGGCCCAUCAGCUUGUUGGUAGGGUAACGGCCUACCAAGGCGAAGACGGGUAGGGGACGUGAGAGCGUGGCCCCCCACACUGGUACUGAAACACGGACCAGAUACCUACGGGUAGCAGCAGCAAGGAAUAUUGCCCAAUGGACGAAAGUCUGAGGCAGCAACGCCGCGUGGAGGAUGAAGGCCUUCGGGUUGUAAACUCCUUUUCUGGGGGAAGAGAAAGGACGGUACCCCAGGAAUAAGUCUCGGCUAACUACGUGCCAGCAGCCGCGGUAAAACGUAGGAGGCGAGCGUUAUCCGGAUUUACUGGGCGUAAAGCGCGUGCAGGCGGCUUUUUAAGUCGGACGUGAAAGCUCCCGGCUCAACUGGGAGGCGCCGUUCAAUACUGCGAGACUAGAGGGCAGGAGAGGGAGGUGGAAUUCCCGGUGUAGUGGUGAAAUGCGUAGAUAUCGGGAGGAACACCAGUGGCGAAGGCGGCCUCCUGGCCUGCUCCUGACACUAAGACGCGAAAGCUAGGGGAGCGAACGGGAUUAGAAACCCCGGUAGUCCUAGCCAUAAACGAUGGAUGUUAGGUGUCGGUGGUAUAGACCCCAUCGGUGCCGAAGCUAACGCGUUAAACAUCCCACCUGGGGACUACGACCGCAAGGUUAAAACUCAAAGGAAUUGACGGGGGCCCGCACAAGCAGCGGAGCGUGUGGUUUAAUUCGAUACUACGCGAAGAACCUUACCCGGGUUUGACAUGUAGGUGGUAGUGAAGCGAGAGCGGAACGACCCUUCGGGGAGCCUACACAGGUGCUGCAUGGCUGUCGUCAGCUCGUGCCGUGAGGUGUUAGGUUAAGUCCUGUAACGAGCGCAACCCUCGUCGUCAGUUAUAUGUGUCUGGCGAGACUGCCGGUCAAAAACCGGAGGAAGGCGGGGACGACGUCAAGUCAGCAUGGCCUCUAUGUCCGGGGCUACACACACGCUACAAUGGCCGGUACAAUGGGUAGCCAAGCCGCGAGGCGGAGCCAAUCCUCCAAAGCCGGUCUCAGUUCGGAUUGUAGGCUGCAACCCGCCUGCAUGAAGCUGGAGUUGCUAGUAACCGCGCGUCAGCCAUAGUGCGGUGAAUACGUUCCCGGGCCUUGUACACACCGCCCGUCACGUCAUGGGAGCUGGUAACACCUGAAGCCGGUGUGCCAACCGCAAGGGGGCAGCCGUCGAAGGUGGGAUCGGUGACUGGGACGA